rnacentral:rRNA from 1 species
AACGAACGCUGGCGGCAGGCUUAACACAUGCAAGUCGAACGCGUGUAGCAAUACACGAGUGGCGCACGGGUGAGUAACGCGUGGAUAUCUGCCUUUUGGUUCGGAAUAACCCCGGGAAACUGGGGCUAAUACCGGAUGGUUCCUUCGGGAUAAAGAUUUAUCGCCAAAAGAUGAGUCCGCGUACGAUUAGCUAGUUGGUGAGGUAAUGGCUCACCAAGGCGACGAUCGUUAGCUGGUCUGAGAGGACGAUCAGCCACACUGGGACUGAGACACGGCCCAGACUCCUACGGGAGGCAGCAGUGGGGAAUAUUGCACAAUGCGCGAAAGCGUGACGCAGCAACGCCGCGUGGGGGAAGACGGCCUUCGGGUUGUAAACCCCUUUCAGUUGGGACGAAGCUUCGCCGGUGAAUAGCCGGCUGGAGUGACGGUACCUUCAGAAGAAGCCCCGGCUAACUACGUGCCAGCCGCCGCCGUAAAAC